GCUGAUCCAUGGGACGGUCGGUUGCCGAUCCAAACCGGGAGCUCACAGCCAGGACCACUUCCGGUUCGCGUCACAGCAGCGGGAGGUCACCGACCAGUAUCUCAACGCAGGUACCCCUCCUCUGGCUACCUCGAGAUCCCCAGCCUCCAGGUCCCGUGUCUACACAGGCCACGGGUACCCCCUACCAGACUCAUCCCCUCUACCGGACUCAUCCUCUCGAUCCCACGUUUCCGGGACCCAG